rnacentral:rRNA from 1 species
GACGAACGCUGGCGGCGUGCUUAACACAUGCAAGUGGAGCGACGAACCAGGCUUCGGCCUGGGGCAGAGCCGCGAACGGGUGAGUAACACGUGGGUAACCUGCCCUGAUGAUCGGGGACAACCCGGGGAACCCGGGCUAAUACCGAAUGUGCCCGCAAGCUCCAAGGCUUGCGAGGAAAGGAAGCUUCGGCCUCCGCAUCGGGAUGGGCCCGCGGCCCAUUAGCUUGUUGGUGGGGUAACGGCCUACCAAGGCAGCAAUGGGUAGCUGGUCUGAGAGGACGAUCAGCCACACUGGGACUGAGACACGGCCCAGACUCCUACGGGAGGCAGCAGUGGGGAAUCUUGGACAAUGGGCGCAAGCCUGAUCCAGCCAUGCCGCGUGAGUGAAGAAGGCCUUAGGAUUGUAAAAUUCUUUCAGCGGGGACAUAAUGACGGUACCCGCAGAAGAAGCCCCGG